rnacentral:rRNA from 1 species
UUCCUACGGGGGGCAGCAGUGGGGAAUAUUGCACAAUGGGGGAAACCCUGAUGCAGCGACGCCGCGUGAGCGAUGAAGUAUUUCGGUAUGUAAAGCUCUAUCAGCAGGGAAGAAAAUGACGGUACCUGACUAAGAAGCCCCGGCUAACUACGUGCCAGCAGCCGCGGUAAUACGUAGGGGGCAAGCGUUAUCCGGAUUUACUGGGUGUAAAGGGAGCGUAGACGGCGAUGCAAGCCAGAUGUGAAAGCCCGGGGCUCAACCCCGGGACUGCUCUUGCAACUGCGUGGCUAGAGUGCAGGAGGGGG